rnacentral:rRNA from 1 species
UACAGAGGGUGCAAACGUUGUUCGGAAUUACUGGGCGUAAAGCGCGUGUAGGCUGCUCGGAAAAGUCGGGGUGUGAAAAGCCCCUGGGCUCAACCCAGGAAGUGCACUCGAAACUCCCGAGCUGGAGUCCCGGAGAGGAAGGCGGGAAUUCUCGGUGUAGAGGUGAAAUUCGUAGAUAUCGAGAGGAACAUCUGUGGCGAAGGCGGCCUUCUGGACGGGUGACUGACGCUGAGACGCGAAAGCGUGGGGGAGCAAAACAGG